AGAUUAUAUGGUAGCACA
rnacentral:tRNA from 1 species